rnacentral:rRNA from 1 species
GACGAACGCUGGCGGCGUGCCUAAUACAUGCAAGUAGAACGCUGAAGGAGGAGCUUGCUUCUCUGGAUGAGUUGCGAACGGGUGAGUAACGCGUAGGUAACCUGCCUGGUAGCGGGGGAUAACUAUUGGAAACGAUAGCUAAUACCGCAUAAUAGUAGAUGUUGCAUGACAUUUGCUUAAAAGGUGCAAUUGCAUCACUACCAGAUGGACCUGCGUUGUAUUAGCUAGUUGGUGAGGUAACGGCUCACCAAGGCGACGAUACAUAGCCGACCUGAGAGGGUGAUCGGCCACACUGGGACUGAGACAUGGCCCAGACUCCUACGGGAGGCAGCAGUAGGGAAUCUUCGGCAAUGGACGGAAGUCUGACCGAGCAACGCCGCGUGAGUGAAGAAGGUUUUCGGAUCGUAAAGCUCUGUUGUAAGAGAAGAACGAGUGUGAGAGUGGAAAGUUCACACUGUGACGGUAUCUUACCAGAAAGGGACGGCUAACUACGUG